UACGGGGGGGGCAAGCGUUGUUCGGAAUUACUGGGCGUAAAGGGCUCGUAGGCGGCCAACUAAGUCGGAUGUGAAAUCCCCAGGCUUAACCUGGGAACUGCAUCCGAUACUGGAUGGCUUGAAUCCGGGAGAGGGAUGCGGAAUUCCAGGUGUAGCGGUGAAAUGCGUAGAGAUGCGGAGGAACACCGAUGGCGAAGGCAGCCCCCUGGGCUAACACUGACGCUCAUGCACGAAAGCGUGGGAGCAAACAGG
rnacentral:rRNA from 1 species